rnacentral:rRNA from 1 species
CCUACGGGGGGCAGCAGUAGGGAAUCUUCCACAAUGGACGAAAGUCUGAUGGAGCAACGCCGCGUGAGUGAAGAAGGGUUUCGGCUCGUAAAGCUCUGUUGGUAGUGAAGAAAGAUAGAGGAAGUAACUGGCCUUGAUUGGACGGUAAUAACUAGGAAAGUCACGGCUAACUACGUGCCAGCAGCCGCGGUAAUACGUAGGUGGCAAGCGUUGUCCGGAUUUGUUGGGAGUAAAGCGAGUGCAGGCGGUUCAAUAAGUCUGAUGUGAAAGCUUUCGGCUCAACCGGAGAAUUGCAUCAGAAACUGUUGAACUUGAGUGCAGAAGAGGAGAGUGGAACUCCAUGUGUAGCGGUGAAAUGCGUAGAUAUAUGGAAGAACACCAGUGGCGAAGGCGGCUCUCUGGUCUGCAACUGACGCUGAGGCUCGAAAGCAUGGGUAGCGAACAGGAUUAGAUACCCUUGUAGUC